GUCUCUGCAGUUAACAUUCUUUAAAACUUAAUGAGACUUCUAAUUCAUGUAAUUUUUUACCUUUUUGUUUGUUUUUUUCAGGCUUUGGUUGGCGAGAAGGCUUGUUAUCAAUCCAUCAGUAGCUACAGUGGUCAGAUCUUUUAUUUAGGGACAAAAUCUGUUUAUGUGAUGAUGCUGAGGAGUUGGAGAGAGGUGAGUUCAAAAUAAUUUCAUAUGGCAGAACUACUGAAUUAAUACCAUUUUUGCUUUUACUUGGCAGAAAAAGAGUCUUUGGGUUUAUUAUUCUUUUUUUUUUUUUAAGAUUUAUUUGUUUAUUUAAUUUCCCCCCCUCCCCUGGUUGUCUGUUCUUGGUGUCUUUUUGCUGCGUCUUGUUUCUUUGUCCGCUUCUGUUGUCGUCAGCGGCACGGGAAGUGUGGGUGGCGCCAUUCCUGGGCAGGCUGCUCUCUCCUUUCCCGCUGGGCGGCUUUCCUCACAGGCGCGCUCCUUGCGUGUGGGGCUCCCCCAUGCGGGGGACACCCCUGCAUGGCAGGGCACUCCCUGUGCGCAUCAGCACUGCGCACGGCCAGCUCCACACGGGUCAAGGAGGCCCGGGGUUUGAACCGCGGACCUCCCAUAUGGUAGACGGACCCCCUAACCACUGGGCCAAAGUCCG
rnacentral:lncRNA from 1 species